GGGUAAGCUCAAGUUUAAAACCUGUUUGUCCUAGACAAACCGGAUUGUAAACUAAGGACGUGCUAUCCAGGCUCUUUGGACCUUCAAGUCCUUUGGAAUAAGGCUUCACAGAGGGUGACAAUCCCGUAGAGGGUCUUGAAAGAGUCUAUUGCGAUGCAUGCUCCAAGAGUCAGGUUGUUUGGGAAUGCAGCCUAAAGUGGGAGGUAAAUCCCUCCUAAAGCUAAAUAUUGGCGAGAGACCGAUAGCAAACAAGUACCGUGAGGGAAAGUUGAAAAGGACUUUGAAAAGAGAGUCAAAAGUACGUGAAAUUGCUUAAAGGGAAGCGUUUGGAGCUAGUUUGGCUAGUCUGUUAUCAGCCUGAGCUUCGGCUUUGGUGUACUAUCAGGCUAUUUGCCGGCCAACUUUCAGGAUUGGAAGGAAAGCUUAGUGCUUUGGAGUCUAAAGAGACCUUUGCGGAAGCCUCUGGUGGAGCGUUGGUCUGCCUUGGCCCUUCUGAACCUAUAGUUGGCUUAAUGGCUCUAAACGGCCCG
rnacentral:rRNA from 1 species